ACUCUCCACACAUGCAUAGCAUGAGAGGUUCCAUGGGCUUAGAGAGGAUUUCGUUUCCGUUAUGUAUGUGAAGGCCCAUCUCAUGGUGGACUACCUGGUGCCUCUAGCGAAAAGAACAAGAAGUCUUACCCUCAGGUCAAAAUCUGCAACUAUGUGGGACCAGCAAAGGUUAUUGUUCAGUUGGUCACAAAUGGAAAAAAUACCCACCUGCAUGCCCACAGCCUGGUGGGAAAACACUGUGAGGAUGGGAUCUGCACUGUAACUGCUGGACCCAAGGACAUGGUGGUCGGCUUUGCAAAUCUGGGUAUACUUCAUGUGACAAAGAAAAAAGUAUUUGAAACACUGGAAGCACGAAUGACAGAGGCGUGUAUAAGGGGCUAUAAUCCUGGACUCUUGGUGCACCCUGACCUUGCCUAUUUGCAAGCAGAAGGUGGAGGGGACCGGCAGCUGGGAGAUCGGGAAAAAGAGCUAAUCCGCCAAGCAGCUCUGCAGCAGACCAAGGAGAUGGACCUCAGCGUGGUGCGGCUCAUGUUUACAGCUUUUCUUCCGGAUAGCACUGGCAGCUUCACAAGGCGCCUGGAACCCGUGGUAUCAGAUGCCAUCUAUGACAGU
rnacentral:sRNA from 1 species